CCUACGGGAGGCAGCAGUGGGGAAUAUUGGGCAAUGGGCGCAAGCCUGACCCAGCAACGCCGCGUGAAGGAAGAAGGCUUUCGGGUUGUAAACUUCUUUUCUCAGGGACGAAGAAAGUGACGGUACCUGAGGAAUAAGCCACGGCUAACUACGUGCCAGCAGCCGCGGUAAGACGUAGGUGGCAAGCGUUAUCCGGAUUUACUGGGUGUAAAGGGCGUGUAGGCGGGAAAGCAAGUCAGAUGUGAAAACCAUGGGCUCAACCUGUGGCCUGCAUUUGAAACUGUUUUUCUUGAGUACUGGAGAGGCAGACGGAAUUCCUCGUGUAGCGGUGAAAUGCGUAGAUAUGAGGAGGAACACCAGUGGCGAAGGCGGUCUGCUGGACAGCAACUGACGCUGAGGCGCGAAAGCGUGGGGAGCAAACAGGAUUAGAUACCCCAGUAGUC
rnacentral:rRNA from 1 species